AAUCAACGCUGGCGGCGCGCUUAACACAUGCAAGUCGCACGAGAAAGGGGGGCAACUCCUGAGUAAAGUGGCGUACGGGUGAGUAACACGUGGAUCAUACACCUUUUUGUGGGGAAUAACUUUGGGAAACCGAAGCUAAUACCGCAUAAGCCCGAGAGGGGAAAGCAGCAAUGCGCUGAAAGAGUAGUCCGCGGCUGAUUAGCUAGUUGGUGAGGUAAUGGCUCACCAAGGCUUUGAUCGGUAGCCGGCCUGAGAGGGCUCACGGCCACACUGGCACUGAAACACGGGCCAGACUCCUACGGGAGGCAGCAGUGGGGAAUCUUGCACAAUGGGGGAAACCCUGAUGCAGCGACGCCGCGUGAGUGAUGAAGCCCUUCGGGGUGUAAAGCUCUUUCGACGGGAACGAUAAUGACGGUACCCGGAGAAGAAGCUGCGGCUAACUACGUGCCAGCAGCCGCGGUAAUACGUAGGCAGCAAGCGUUGUUCGGAAUUACUGGGCGUAAAGCGAGUGUAGGUGGUGCUAUAAGUUUGGUGUGAAAUCUCCCGGCUCAACUGGGAGGGUGCGCCGAAGACUGUAGUGCUAGAGUAUGGGAGAGGUAGGCGGAAUUCCUGGUGUAGCGGUGAAAUGCGUAGAUAUCAGGAGGAACACCUGCGGUGUAGACGGCUUACUGGACCAUGACUGACACUGAAACUCGAAAGUGUGGGGAGCAAACAGGAUUNNAUACCCUGGUAGUCCACACCCUAAACGAUGCAUACUUGGUGUGAGCGAUUCAUUUCGUUCGUGCCGGAGCUAACGCGUUAAGU
rnacentral:rRNA from 1 species